GAUGGAAAUAGUCCUUUACUUCAAUAGCCAGAGUAUAAAAUUAGAAAUAAGGAGAACGAAUUAGGGAGAAUCUGUUGAAACAGAGAUUUUUUUCUUCAAGACAAAAAUAUAGGACAUUGGCUCCUUAGUAUUGUAAGAAACUCUUUGUUUUCAGAAUGCCAACUGUUACAUACUUGUUUUGUUUAGUGUACUAUAUUUUAGAAAGUGUCUAUACAUUUGGUUCGACACCAAGCCUUGGAAUCUUAAGAGGAACACCAGUGCGAAUGCUAUUCUAAUCAGUUGCCCCAUACAGUUUCUUAGUCUGUACUUCAUGAUUUUGUCACGUAUUUCCUUUUAUGGUGUCAGAAAACGCAAUGCAGGCAGCAAGCAACUAUUAAAGGCAGUUCACCUGAUUAAAAGGGUAUGCCAUCCCAAAGCAGAUGAGGAUACAAAAGGCUUGUUCAUGCUGUGUUAAGCUACAGUUGCAUACAAUCCUAUCCCCUGAGUUUUUCUUCACUAUUCUCAGAUUCUUCAUGCUGCCAGAACACAAGAGCUAGAAGCUUUCUGACUCUGUAGAGAUAGAAUUUCUACAUUUCUAGAAACACAAGAAUUACCAGAAGAUGCAUUAAAAGAACAUACAAUGGAAAUAGCACGGUGGCUCAUGCUUGUAAUCCCAGUGCUUUGAGAGGCAAAGGCGGAAGGGCCACUUGAGGCCCGGAGUUCAAGGCCAGCUUGGGCAACAUAGUGAGACCCUGACUCUUUAAAAAAAAAAAAAAUAGCCAGGCACUGUGGCACAUGCCUGUAGUCCUAGCUACUUGGGAGCCUGAGGCAGGAGAAUUGCUUGAACCCAGGAGAUCAAGACCUCAGUGAACUAUGACUGUGCCACUGCACUCCAGCCUGGGUGACAACAGAGAGAGAUUGUCUGCCCCCAACCCCCCCGAAAAAAGUGUAGGGAGAAAGCAUCUCAAAAGAUAAAAGUAUCUAGGUCACAACCUCUUAGUGCCUUUGAUUACACAUUUGCAAAGAGGAUAUAGUACCCUCUAGUCCCAGAGUUGUGAGAUUCCAAUGACAGGAUAUCAUUUGAGGUUAAGUGUAAUUAAGACAGCAACUUUAAUGAAAUGACAAUUUUUGAAAUUUACUGUUCUUAAAAAAAUUAGUACAGCAACGAUAUUAAUUCUAGUAUAAUUGUUGGAGGAACUGUCUUACAGUCAGUGCUGAAAUGCCUGCUAAUCUUGUUAUCAAAUAAGAAUUCUAAAUUUUAUCAAUACCCACUUUAUGAGCAAUUUCAGCAUUAAUUAGAUUAAAAAAUGUUUAUUGUGUGUCUGCUAUGUGUGAGGCAUUGCUUGCCUCAUUUAGCAACAAAAUAAUUAGCUCGUGUUAUAUUUGAGAAAUCUGAAUUAUAGGGAAGUGUAUUCUAGAUAUAGAUCAUGUCUUUUAGGACCAUUUAAAUCUAAUAUUUAUUGCACUUGUGCCAAUUUUCAAGUUCUCCAAGUUGUUGAGAUUAUUGCCAAUAAGAAUACUGUCUUUGUUCCAGGGCAUGAACGUUUGGAUGCUAAGUGUCAGGGUUCAUCUAAGGUAAGAAGUAGGCUUUGAAGUUGCCUGAUGUGUUACUUGAUUUCUUCUUUAAAAAAAUUUAAUUUUUUUUAGAGACAGGGUCUAGCUCUGUUACCCAGGCUGGAAUGCAGUGGUGCAAUCUCAGCUCACUGUAAAACUGCCAGGCUCGAGCAAUCUUCCUGCCUUAUCCUCCCGACUACUAGUGUGCCAUUUGAAUUGUCUUCCUAACAACUGAUGUGGCAAAGAAUCUAAGAUCAUGUUCUCUCAAUGCACCACACACAUGACAAUAUUUCAUCCCCACUGUUAGUUAUAUGGACUCCCAGAAAUAAAGUUUACCUUACUGAACAAGUUUUCUUUCUUUGAGUUGAGAAGUCUCCAUUAGAGAUUAGGUAUCCAGGAGGAUUUGGGUCAAAGCAGCAGAGGAUGAGCUCCAGUAGCAUUGAGAGAGAGGCCUCAAAUCUGAUUGCAUAUUAGAAUUAUCUGGGGCAGGUUUAUAAUUGCCAGUGCCUGGGCCUCUCCCAGAAUAAUUAAAUGAAAAUCUCUGGGAUUGGGGCCCAGGUGCUGGUAUUUUUAAAAAGCCACCAGGUGAUCCUAAUGUGUUCCCAAGGUUCAGAACUAGUGAUCUAUGUAAUAGCUAGAAUUUCUUAGUUUAGGCAAUUAAUGUAAAGGUGUUUUCAAAUAGUGCCUUUUCAAGAGGCAUGUUGUGAAACACUGUAUUUAUGUUAUCAAGUGGCUCACCAAAAUAAUGAGAACAUUUUUAGAUUGAUGCUUGGAUAACUACGGUAGCAGUUACAUAAUUUUCCAAAUACCUAAUAGGACUGCACUAUGAUAGUUAGCUGGAUGUUCCUUGAGCUGUAAAACAGGGUACAAAGACAAUCGUUUUCAUUUUUUAUUGGAGUUUGAUUAAUAUUCUCUCUGGGUCGAUGCGACCUUGGAAUUAAACAGUGAGGAUUGCAUGGUCCAUUUGCCAGGAUCUACAUAUUUUAUCUUUAAUUCUCCCAAUUAUGAAGGCCUGGCUAAGACUUCUGCUUGGAUCCUAAAUGAGGCACUCAUCAUAAUCUUGUCCUUCCAUUGGUGCAUGGUUUAUCACACACACAAAAACUCACCUAACUUUAAAAGGAGGUGAAGAGGACAUAUGCAGGGAGGACAUUGGGGUUUUUAUUCCAAGAUAAGUGAGUUGUACCAUCUGUGGACAGGCAUAGCAGUAAGUGGAAUAUUACUUGAAGCAUUUUAUCAGAACCUCUUUGCUACAGUUUGGAUGUUUGUUCCCUCCAAAGCUCAUGUUGAAAUUUGGUUGCCAUUGUAAUAGUAUUGAGACACAGUAUCUUUAACAGGUGAUUAGGCCAUGAAGGCUCCACUCUUGUGGGUGGGUUUAACGCCUUUAAAAAAUGGCUCUGGGAGUGGGCUCUGUCUCUCCCAUGUGUUUUCUUGCCCUUUGCUUUUCUGCCAUUGAAUGCCGCAGAUAGAAGGCCCUCACCAGAUGCGAGUCCCUCAGCCUUGGACUUCCAGCUUCCAGAACUGUAAGAAACAAAUUUAUUUUCCUUGUAAAUUACCCAGUCUCAGGUAGUCUGUUUAGCAGCAGCAAACAGACUAAGACAUUCUACCAUCAGAUUUGUGUUUCCCCAAUGACAUUGGAGUUCAAGGUCCAUUAGUGAGAUAUGGACAGGUACAGUGUGUUAGUGCAGAUGAACUAUUCAAUCUCAUUUUGGAGGGUUUCCAUCAUAAAACACAAAUGAUUUAGUCAAAGCAGCAUCUUCUGAAUUUCUUAGCUGACUUAUAAAAACAAAUAAGCCACUUUCUGUCUUUAUUAUUUUCUUCCCAGGAAGGGAGCUUUACAGUCAUGAGGGUAGUAAAUAAGUAUUACUUUUUAAAGAAGCUCUGGAGCUAUGGGGAUUUAAUAAAUAGUUCAUUGCUUCCCUAUCUCCACCAAAAUCUCUUCACUCUAACUGCAGCCUUGAAACCCAAGUGUUCGGGUUUGGACUUUUUUUUUUUUCUUUUGAGACACAGCGUCACUCUUGCCCAGGUUGGAAUACAGUGGUACGAUCUCGACUCAUUGCAACCUCUGCCUCCUGGGUUCAAGCGAUUCUCCUGCUCCAGUCUCCGGAGUAUAGCUGGGACUACAAGCACCUGCCACCACUUGCCCAGCUAAUUUUUGUAUUUUCAGUAGAGAUGGGGUUUCACCAUGUUGCUCAGGCUAGUCUUGAACUCCUAGCCUCAAGUGAUUCACCCACCUCAAUCUCCCAAAGUGCUGGGAUUACAGGCGUGAUCCACCGCUCCUAUCUAGGUUUUGGACUUUUAAUCUACCUCUUCUUAAUACCCUUCCCUCUUCUCUAAAAGCAAGAUAUAUUUAUAGCCUAUUUAUUACUUUGGGAUCAACUUCAAAUGUUUAUUUUUGGAUAAGAUGAGUGAGUUACAAAACUAGCAACCUGCAAAGUGUUUGAAAGUUUAACUGCUAUUUUUUCGGUUAUCCAUUCACCCAUUCAAUGAAUAUUAUUGAGGUGCUACUAUGUGCCAGGCACUUCUAGACAUGGUGGGGAUAUUAUAGUAAAUGGAACAGAUGGCAAUCCUUGCACACAUGGAAUAGUGAGGGAAAGAAAGUCACAGAGGCUGACACCAAUCACAAAUGGAAAAUGAUACAAGGUGUGUUAAGGGUUUUAAAAGAAAAAUGACAUAAAAAAUAUACAAAAACUUGACUCGGAAAUUGUACUUAAGAAAUAUAUCGUAAGGAAAUAAUUAUGUGCCCAAAUAUGCACGUACUAAAAUAUUCACUAUAUUUUUUAGCACAACAUUGAAAAGAAGAACUAGUUAAAUAAAGUUAAGGACUGAUUAAGGACUAGUUAAAUUAGAUGCUGCAGUCAUGUGUCGAAUGACAUAGAAAGAUGCUUACAAUACAUUAAAUGAAAAUUGCUGGUUUCAAAAUUGUAUGAUAUGAUUCCUCUAAAAGAGUAGUUUUCAAGCAGGAGUGAUUUUUGCCUCUGAGGGGCCAUUUGUGAAUGUCUGGAGACCCUUUAGGUUGUUACAAGCAGGGUGGAGGUUGGUGCUACUGGCCUUUAGUGAUUAGCAGUCAGGCAUGCCGCUGAACAUCCUGCAAUGCACAGGACAGCCCCCUACCACAAGUAAUUAUUUGGCUCAAAACGUCAGUAGUACUGAGAUUUAGAAAUCCUGCUUUUAAACAAUUACAAAUACCAUUGCAAGGACAAAUAUUUUCUGAAUAAAUAGCAUUAUGGAUGUUUUAAAUGUUAUUUUUCUUUGUGUGUUAAUUCAGAUGUUGCUUUAAAUGAGAAGUACUGACUUUGUAAUUAAAAACAAAAACUAUUUUAAAAUGUGCUAAAUUUUGGACCUAUCUCAGCCUGAGAAGGUUUUUUUCUAAAAAGGUUCAGGCAUCUUUUUAUUUUCCUACUGCUCUCCUUACCUGUGCACACCUCAUUGCCUGUAUCUGUGAUGCCUCUAUUUGGAGGGAACCUGGGUUAUGCCUGGGCCUGGUUUACUCCCAUAACAUGGGUUGCUGUACUUGCCCACUUAAUUGUGAGCUCUAUCCAUCCAGGAAAGUAAUCUGUUCCUUAUUUUGAAUAGCGUGUUCUUAGAAGUUCAUGGGUUCUAAUUGAAGGAAACUAGAGGGACCCCUUCCAUCCUUCAGCAAGGGUCCCCAAAGAUAGGCAGGGUGCCCAGAGAAUGCCUCAACUGCUGAGAACUCCACCCUUUCAGGUCCAGUGCAGGCUCAUCUCCAGAAAAGCUGGGUUAGAGUUGUCUCACUGUUUGGGUUGGAAUAUUGUGAUUUCUAGGAGUGGAAAUGCACUUGCUAAUUUAGCUAUCUCCUCUUUAUAAGACGCUCAUGGAAAUAAAGAUUAGCCAUAAAAUACCUUUAAUGAGCUUCCAAAUUUUAUCUGCAAGGAACCCAGGGCCUGUGGCAUUAUACUGGUUUGUAGAAGACUCCUGUGGUGUCUGCAGAAACUUUCUCUGGUGAAUAUCUAGAAUUUCCAUUACUUUGAAUGUGUACAUGUUAUUAAUCAAGGAAUUAAUCAUCCCCAUUCUCUUUGAUUGAAAGUCACAUUACCUUGGAAGGACAAGGUGUUGUCAAAUGGGCAAGGCAGAUCAUAUGUUUUCUUUUACUGGACUCCUUAUUUUUCUAAUUACAGCCUGUGUAUCCUGUGCUAGAGAGCCUCUUGAAAUUAACUUAAUUUACUAUCACACUUGUAACAUACCCAUUUAUUUGGGCCUGUGAAUAUGUGUGCACUCCAUUUGAUUACAUCUAAUGUUCUCCCUAAAUAAAGAGUACAAUUAAUUC
rnacentral:lncRNA from 10 species